GACCUCGGAUCAGGUAGGGAUACCCGCUGAACUUAAGCAUAUCAAUAAGGGAGGAAAAGAAACCAACAGGGAUUGCCUCAGUAACGGCGAGUGAAGCGCAACAGCUCAAAUUGAAAUCUGGCCCGUCGGGGUCCGAGUUGUAAUUUGAGAGAGUGUUUCGGGUGAGACCCGGUCUAAGUGUUGGAACAGGCGUCAUGAGGGUGAGAAUCCCGUAUGUGACCGUGGCUCGAGCCCAUGUGAAGCUUUCGACGAGUCGAGUUGUUUGGGAAUGCAGCUCAAAAUGGGUGGUAAAUUCAUCUAAAGCUAAAUAUGGCGAGACCGAUAGCGCACAAGUAGAGUGAUCAAAGAUGAAAAGCACAGUACGUGAAAUUGUUGAAAGGGAAGCGCUUGCACCAGACUUGUGUAGGUGGAUCACCGUGUUCUCUGGUGCACUCGCUCUGCSAUCAGGCCAGCAUCGGUUCCGGSGGUGGGAUAAAGGCCUUGGGAAUGUACUCCCUUCGGGGAGUCUUAUAGCCCUCGGUGCAAUGCGGCCAGCCGGGACGAGGACCGCGCUUCGGCUAGGAUGCUGGCGUAAUGGUUGUAAGCGACCGUCUUGAAACACGGACCAAGGAGUCUAACAUCUAUGCGAGUGUUUGGGUUUAAACCCAUCGCGGAAUGAAAGUGAACGGAGGUGAGAACCCUUUAGGGCAUCAUCGACCGAUCCAGAUGUCUUCGGAUGGAUUUGAGUAAGAGCAUACUGUUGGGACCCGAAAGAUGGUGAACUAUGCCUGAAUAGGGUGAAGCCAAGGAAACUCUGGUGGAGGCUCCAGCGGUUCUGACGUGCAAAUCGAUCGUAAAUUUGGGUAUAGGGGCGAAAGACUAAU
rnacentral:rRNA from 1 species